rnacentral:rRNA from 1 species
GUGUCAGCCGCCGCGGUAAUACGUAGGUGGCGAGCGUUGUCCGGAAUUAUUGGGCGUAAAGCGUGCGCAGGCGGUUUCUUAAGUUUGAUGUGAAAGCCCACGGCUCAACCGUGGGGGGUCAUUGGAAACUGGGAGACUUGAGUGCAGAAGAGGAAAGUGGAAUUCCAUGUGUAGCGGUGAAAUGCGUAGAGCUAAGGAGGAACACCAGUGGCGAAGGCGGAUUUCUGGACUGAAACUGACGCUGAGGCGCGAAAGCGUGGGGAGCAAACAGGAUUAGAUACCCUGGUAGUCCACGCCGUAAACGAUGAGUGCUAAGUGUUGGAGGGUUU